rnacentral:rRNA from 1 species
GCUUACGGCCAUACCACCCUGAGCACGCCCGAUCUCAUCUGAUCUCGGAAGUUAAGCAGAGUCGGGCCUGGUUAGUACUUGGAUGGGAGACCGCCUGGGAAUACCAGGUGCUGUAAGCU